rnacentral:lncRNA from 1 species
GACAGUCUCCUCUGCUGAAGUCCAGGCUUCAUGGGAGACUGCCAAGGCUGUUUAUGUGGCAGCAGCACCAGCUCCUGUGAUGCAGAGCAUGUGCAACACAGAUGCAGCCUUCGGUGGUGCAGCUGCAAUACCUGCAACCUUAGAUGGAGCAGCUGGUACAGUCGGACCUGCAUCCGCUGAGGCAGCUGCUAAAGAGCCCGCUGAGGUGGAGCCAUAUCAGCUGCUAAACUUCCUAGAAUGUGAAAUGAUGCAUUUCUACGACGGUUGAUGUCAAAAUAACGUGGAAAGCCUGGGGUGACAACAUAGUGAACCAGGACAUAAGGUCAAGCAUUGCUGUGAAGAACCUGGCCAUUGCUCUGUGGGGGUCCAGUGUCCUGUAGAAGACUGUGGUCGAAAUGGCGUCGAAUGUCAGUCUUAACAAGGACAGCAGGCUGCCUCUGACACCCAAGAAAGCGGCAUUCCUAAG